GGCCGGGCCUCAUGCAGCUACCGUUGAGCUCCUUGCUCUUGGCCUGCGGGGCGGCGUUGCCCAGGGACUGCAGCGAGCACGCCGAGCGCUGGUAAUCGCCCUCCAGGUGCGUGGCGGCCUGGAAGGGGGGUUGGGGGGGACCGUCGUAGCCGAAGCCAUUGCUGCCAGGGUACGAGGAAUAGCCUCCGAAGAGUGCUGCCGCGGCGUUGUCGUAGUAGGUGGCUUUCUGCAUCGCUGGGCGAGGCCCGGGCAGUGGGUGGCAACUUGCAAGAGCCUGAUACCCUCACGACCGGACAUUGGCACCCGCGGGGGUCACGUGAGGCGCCGGACCCCCCCUCCCCUCUCUGCCCCCCUCCUCCCGAGUCCGUUGGGAGCGGCUGACCUGCGGGGUGAGAGAAGAGACACAAGGGGGAGAAGAGGACUGGGGCUCGAAUCCAUCUUAGGAGCUGAAAAGGGAACUGACAUCAAUAGGGUUUCUUCUUCUCCCCCACCCCAACAUCUUCAAAGCAGAUGCUGAGGCCACUUCCCUGACCUGAAAUGGAUUUUGCUUAUUUCUUAUUUUAAUUUUAAAGAAAAAGCCCACCAGUUUUUAUUUCCACUUCAAAAAUAAGGACUCUACUCCUUUGGGGACUGCCUAAGUAUUGAAUCUUCCUACAGCGAAGGCCAGGGCUUCACUAGUGACUUAGUGCCAUCUCCUGAGCUCUCCUCCUCCCCCUCCCUACCCACCCCUCCACCACUAACUCUGGGACUGGGUGGCUCAAGGAGGGGGGAACUAGGAGACUCCAAAAUAAAAGCAUCACCAACACCGUCCUCUGAGCUGAGAGGCCUCCUGUCUCCUGUCUUUGCCUCGCUCCGUGUCCAUCUAGGUUUCUUACCCAAGCAGUCUAGCCUGGAGGAAAAAAAAAAAACCCAAAAAACAGAGGAUCUCCGAGGGGACAGAAAGGAGAACCAAGUUGAGCAGGGAACCUUCUCCUGUGAGGAACCCUCUCUCUCCCCUCCCACCUCACGAGGACAGCAUCAGCCUGACCUAGAAACUUCCAGAAGAUUUUUAGCCUCCAGGAGCCAGCAGAACUAAGCGUCCUCCAUGGCUCUGCUGCAGUCUGUUUCCUUUCAUUUCUAAAAGAAAGAAGAAAGAAAGAAAGAAAGAAAGAAAGAAAGAAAGAAAGAAAGAAGAAAGAAAAGAAAGAAAAGAAAAGAAAAGAAAAGAAAAGAAAAGAAAAAAAGAGAGAAACUGGAUAACGGCUGGACUUUUCUAUCAAGAGAUACGAAAGUGCUUCCUGAAUGAGAACAUCUUUCCCCAAGGCAGAAAAAAAAGAAAGUCAACAGAGCAAUCAGAACAAUAUUAUUUUCUGGGUUGGAAACAGAGUACCUUGCUUGCUGAAGUUUUCCAAGGCAAAAAAAAAAAUCAUUAUUUUAAUGCAGACUUUUAAAAUGAUACAAAAAGAAUAAAGCUGUGAGCUGUCAUAGGA